ACACAUGCAAGUCGAACGGCAGCACAGUAAGAGCUUGCUCUUAUGGGUGGCGAGUGGCGGACGGGUGAGGAAUACAUCGGAAUCUACUCUUUCGUGGGGGAUAACGUAGGGAAACUUACGCUAAUACCGCAUACGACCUACGGGUGAAAGCGGAGGACCUUCGGGCUUCGCGCGAUUGAAUGAGCCGAUGUCGGAUUAGCUAGUUGGCGGGGUAAAGGCCCACCAAGGCGACGAUCCGUAGCUGGUCUGAGAGGAUGAUCAGCCACACUGGAACUGAGACACGGUCCAGACUCCUACGGGAGGCAGCAGUGGGGAAUAUUGGACAAUGGGCGCAAGCCUGAUCCAGCCAUGCCGCGUGGGUGAAGAAGGCCUUCGGGUUGUAAAGCCCUUUUGUUGGGAAAGAAAAGCAGUCGGUUAAUACCCGAUUGUUCUGACGGUACCCAAAGAAUAAGCACCGGCUAACUUCGUGCCAGCAGCCGCGGUAAUACGAAGGGUGCAAGCGUUACUCGGAAUUACUGGGCGUAAAGCGUGCGUAGGUGGUGGUUUAAGUCUGUUGUGAAAGCCCUGGGCUCAACCUGGGAAUUGCAGUGGAUACUGGGUCACUAGAGUGUGGUAGAGGGUAGCGGAAUUCCCGGUGUAGCAGUGAAAUGCGUAGAGAUCGGGAGGAACAUCAGUGGCGAAGGCGGCUACCUGGACCAACACUGACACUGAGGCACGAAAGCGUGGGGAGCAAACAGGAUUAGAUACCCUGGUAGUCCACGCCCUAAACGAUGCGAACUGGAUGUUGGGUGCAAUUUGGCACGCAGUAUCGAAGCUAACGCGUUAAGUUCGCCGCCUGGGGAGUACGGUCGCAAGACUGAAACUCAAAGGAAUUGACGGGGGCCCGCACAAGCGGUGGAGUAUGUGGUUAAAUCGAUGCACGCAAAGAACCUAACUGGUCUUGACUUCAACGGACUUUUCAGAGAUGGAAUGGUGCUCUCGGGAUCG
rnacentral:rRNA from 1 species